UAGAGACAGACCGUGUGUUAGUGGGGGUAGAGACAGACCGUGUGUUAGUGGGGGUAGAGACAGACCGUGUGUUAGUGGGGGUAGAGACAGACCGUGUGUUAGUGGGGGUAGAGACAGACCGUGUGUUAGUGGGGGUAGAGACAGACCGUGUGUUAGUGGGGGUAGAGACAGACCGUGUGUUAGUGGGGGUAGAGACAGACCGUGUCAGUGUGUUAGUGGGGGUAGAGACAGACCGUGACAGUGUGUUAGUGGGGGUAGAGACAGACCGUGUGUUAGUGGGGGUAGAGACAGACCGUGUCAGUGUGUUAGUGGGGGUGGAGACAGACAGUGUCAGUGUGUUAAUGGGGGUAGAGACAGACCGUGUCAGUGUGUUAGUGGGGGUAGAGACAGACCGUGUCAGUGUGGUGAGGUGAUAUAAUGAGGUAGUGGGUUAGUGACAGACAGUGGGUUGAGGUGAUGAGGUAGUGGGUUAGUGAAAGACAGUGGGUUGAGGUGAUGAGGUAGUGGGUUAGUGAAAGAUAGUGGGUUGAGGUGAUGAGAUAGUGGGUUAGUGACAGACCUUGUCAGUGGGGUGAGGUGAUGUGAUGAGGUAGUAGGUUAGUGACAGACAUUUGGGUGAGGUGAUGAGGUAAUGGGUUAGUGACAGACAUUUGGGUGAGGUGAUGUGAUGAGUUAAUGGGUUAGUGACAGUGAGGUGAUGAGGUAGUGGGUUAGUGACAGUGAGGUGAUGAGGUAGUGGGUUAGUGACAGACCGUGUCAGUGGGGUGAGGUGAAGUGAUGAGUUAGUGGGUUAGUGACAGUGAGGUUAGGUAGUAGGUAAGGUUGCAAAAUUAUGCUAACUUUCCCCAAAUUCUUACAUUUUUCAGAAAUCCUGGUUUUAGGAUUACGGAUUCUUAUUCCUUCCUGAUUCCAGGAAUAUUACAAAUGUGAUUUCUGGAAAACCCUGGUAGUGUAUGGUUAGUGAGUAGUAAUGGUGAGGUGAAGCUCUGGAAAACCCUGGUAGUGUUGGGUUAGUGAGUAGUAAUGGUGAGGUGAAGCUCUGGAAAACCCUGGUAGUGUUGGGUUAGUGAGUAGUAAUGGUGAGGUGAAGCUCUGGAAAACCCUGGUAGUGUUGGGUUAGUGAGUAGUAAUGGUGAGGUGAAGCUCUGGAAAACCCUGGUCGUGUUGGGUUAGUGAGUAGUAAUGGUGAGGUGAAGCUCUGGAAAACCCUGGUAGUGUUGGGUUAGUGAGUAGUAAUGGUGAGGUGAAGCUCUGGAAAACCCUGGUCGUGUUGGGUUAGUGAGUAGUAAUGGUGAGGUGAAGCUCUGGAAAACCCUGGUAGUGUUGGGUUAGUGAGUAGUAAUGGUGAGGUGAAGCUCUGGAAAACCCUGGUAGUGUUGGGUUAGUGAGUAGUAAUGGUGAGGUGAAGCUCUGGAAAACCCUGGUCGUGUUGGGUUAGUGAGUAGUAAUGGUGAGGUGAAGCUCUGGAAAACCCUGGUAGUGUUGGGUUAGUGAGUAGUAAUGGUGAGGUGAAGCUCUGGAAAACCCUGGUAGUGUUGGGUUAGUGAGUAGUAAUGGUGAGGUGAAGCUCUGGAAAACCCUGGUCGUGUUGGGUUAGUGAGUAGUAAUGGUGAGGUGAAGCUCUGGAAAACCCUGGUAGUGUUGGGUUAGUGAGUAGUAAUGGUGAGGUGAAGCUCUGGAAAACCCUGGCAGUGUUGGGUUAGUGAGUAGUAAUGGUGAGGUGAAGCUCUGGAAAACCCUGGUAGUGUUGGGUUAGUGAGUAGUAAUGGUGAGGUGAAGCUCUGGAAAACCCUGGUAGUGUUGGGUUAGUGAGUAGUAAUGGUGAGGUGAAGCUCUGGAAAACCCUGGUAGUGUUGGGUUAGUGAGUAGUAAUGGUGAGGUGAAGCUCUGGAAAACCCUGGUAGUGUUGGGUUAGUGAGUAGUAAUGGUGAGGUGAAGCUCUGGAAAACCCUGGUAGUGUUGGGUUAGUGAGUAGUAAUGGUGAGGUGAAGCUCUGGAAAACCCUGGUAGUGUUGGGUUAGUGAGUAGUAAUGGUGAGGUGAAGCUCUGGAAAACCCUGGUAGUGUUGGGUUAGUGAGUAGUAAUGGUGAGGUGAAGCUCUGGAAAACCCUGGUAGUGUUGGGUUAGUGAGUAGUAAUGGUGAGGUGAAGCUCUGGAAAACCCUGGUAGUGUUGGGUUAGUGAGUAGUAAUGGUGAGGUGAAGCUCUGGAAAACCCUGGUAGUGUUGGGUUAGUGAGUAGUAAUGGUGAGGUGAAGCUCUGGAAAACCCUGGUAGUGUUGGGUUAGUGAGUAGUAAUGGUGAGGUGAAGCUCUGGAAAACCCUGGUAGUGUUGGGUUAGUGAGUAGUAAUGGUGAGGUGAAGCUCUGGAAAACCCUGGUAGUGUUGGGUUAGUGAGUAGUAAUGGUGAGGUGAAGCUCUGGAAAACCCUGGUAGUGUUGGGUUAGUGAGUAGUAAUGGUGAGGUGAAGCUCUGGAAAACCCUGGUAGUGUUGGGUUAGUGAGUAGUAAUGGUGAGGUGAAGCUCUGGAAAACCCUGGUAGUGUUGGGUUAGUGAGUAGUAAUGGUGAGGUGAAGCUCUGGAAAACCCUGGUCGUGUUGGGUUAGUGAGUAGUAAUGGUGAGGUGAAGCUCUGGAAAACCCUGGUAGUGUUGGGUUAGUGAGUAGUAAUGGUGAGGUGAAGCUCUGGAAAACCCUGGCAGUGUUGGGUUAGUGAGUAGUAAUGGUGAGGUGAAGCUCUGGAAAACCCUGGUAGUGUUGGGUUAGUGAGUAGUAAUGGUGAGGUGAAGCUCUGGAAAACCCUGGUAGUGUUGGGUUAGUGAGUAGUAAUGGUGAGGUGAAGCAUGCCAAGUGAUUCGAAGAGAAACUUACACAGCCCUGAGCAGGUACCAGUUCAUACUGUACAGACAGACACCUUGA